AAAUCUGAAAUAAAGGAUGAGAAGAGUGUAGAUGGAAAAAAUGGGGAAGAAAAGAUGAAACAAUGGAAAAGUGUAAUUUUCAUAACUUAAAACUUCAAAGUAUAUAUGUAUGACUUUUUUCGUCUUCAUGAGAUUGAUUUGUUCAUUCAUUCAACAUUUAAUAAAUAUAUAACAAGCACCCAGUGUGGGCCAGCUGUAGUCAAAUUGCUGGGAAGAUAGCAAUUAAAAACAAGCUAACAAGCCAAAACCAGCCUUCAUGGAGCCUAUAUUCUGUAAGGAGAGAGCUUAUGCCCUUGAAUCAAGGGAAAAUAGAGUUCACAAGGAGCCAGCGGCCGGCAGCAUCACACUUUUAUGACAGACCUGGAAGGGUGUUUUGAAUGCUGUAUCAAAUGCCUGGGGGGCAUUCCCUAUGCCUCUCUGAUUGCCACCAUCCUGCUCUAUGCGGGUGUUGCCCUGUUCUGUGGCUGCGGUCAUGAAGCGCUUUCUGGAACUGUCAACAUUCUGCAAACCUACUUUGAGAUGGCAAGAACUGCUGGAGACACACUGGAUG
rnacentral:lncRNA from 10 species